UACGUAGGGGGCAAGCGUUGUCCGGAAUCAUUGGGCGUAAAGAGCGCGUAGGCGGCCCAGUAAGUCCGCUCUGAAAGUCAGGGGCUCAACCCCUGAAUGCGGGUGGAUACUGCUGGGCUAGAGUCCGGAAGAGGCGAGUGGAAUUCCUGGUGUAGCGGUGAAAUGCGCAGAUAUCAGGAGGAACACCAGUGGCGAAAGCGGCUUCCUGGUCCAGCACCGACGUUCAGGCACGAAAGCGUGGGGAGCAAACAGG
rnacentral:rRNA from 1 species